GAUGAACGCUAGCGGCAGGCCUAACACAUGCAAGUCGAGGGAGAGGUUAUCUUCGGGUAACCAAAACCGGCGCACGGGUGCGUAACGCGUAUACAAUCUGCCUUUCACAUAGGGAUAGCCCGAAGAAAUUUGGAUUAAUACCUAAUGGUAUAUAGGAGCGGCAUCGUUUUUAUAUUAAAGCUACGGUGGUGAAAGAUGAGUAUGCGUUCUAUUAGCUAGUUGGAGAGGUAACGGCUCCCCAAGGCGACGAUAGAUAGGGGUUCUGAGAGGGAUGUCCCCCACACUGGUACUGAGAUACGGACCAGACUCCUACGGGAGGCAGCAGUGAGGAGUAUUGGACAAUGGUCGGAAGACUGAUCCAGCCAUGCCGCGUGCAGGAUGAAGGUCCUAUGGAUUGUAAACUGCUUUUGUAAGGGAAGAAUAAGGAGUACGUGUACUUUGAUGACGGUACCUUACGAAUAAGCAUCGGCUAACUCCGUGCCAGCAGCCGCGGUAAUACGGAGGAUGCGAGCGUUAUCCGGAAUCAUUGGGUUUAAAGGGUCCGUAGGCGGGCUGAUAAGUCAGAGGUGAAAGCGCUUAGCUCAACUAAGCAACUGCCUUUGAAACUGUCAGUCUUGAAUGAUUGUGAAGUAGUUGGAAUGUGUAGUGUAGCGGUGAAAUGCUUAGAUAUUACACAGAACACCGAUAGCGAAGGCAUAUUACUAACAAUUUAUUGACGCUGAUGGACGAAAGCGUGGGGAGCGAACAGG
rnacentral:rRNA from 1 species